rnacentral:rRNA from 1 species
AACGAACGCUGGCGGCAGGCCUAACACAUGCAAGUCGAGCGAGCCCUUCGGGGCUAGCGGUGGACGGGUGAGUCACGCGUGGGAACGUCCCCUUCUCUACGGAAUAGCCUCGGGAAACUGAGAGUAAUACCGUAUAAGCCCUUCGGGGGAAAGAUUUAUCGGGGAAGGAUCGGCCCGCGUUGGAUCAGGUAGUUGGUGGGGUAAUGGCCUGCCAAGCCGACGAUCCAUAGCUGGUUUGAGAGGAUGAUCAGCCACACUGGGAAGGGGACACGGCCCAGAAUCCUACGGAAGGCAGGAGUGGGUGAUCUUAGAUAAUGGGGGAAAGCCUGAUCUAGCCAUGCCGCGUGAGUGACGAAGGCCGUAGGGUCGGAAAGCGCUUUCGCUGGGGAGGAUAAUGACGGUACCCAGUAAAGAAACCCCGGCUAACUCCGUGCCAGCAGCCGCCGUAA